UCCUCGGUGGCUCAGUCGGGUAGAGCGUCUGCCAUGUAAGCUGAAGGUCCCGGGUUCGAGUCGCGGUCGGGGCA